GGGAAUGGCUGGAGAUACAGAUGUGUGCCUGUGUUCUGAGCUGACCACAAAGAAAUCAUGUGGCCACACUGCAUGCAGUAAUCUGGAUGGUUGCUUCUGUGCUUCUGCAGUCUCUGCCCAGAGCAACACACUCUUUGUGUGCCUUGCUCUGGCAAGGACUGCAGGCCAGUGCAGUGCAGAGAUUCACUAGCAGCAGCCUGAGCAGUGUGGGUUCAGCUGUGUUUGACAGAUGUGCCCCAGGCCUGGGGCUCAGCGACUCCCCAGCUUAUGAAAGAAGACACGACUGUGGUCUGCAGUGGAUUAAAAUUGUACCUGACUGAUGCUACCUGUGGAAGGGAGUUCAAGCAUUCGCAGGUACGGCUUAUGGAGACUUUGCUCUGCAGGUCUUGAUGAGAGGCUGGAAGGCCCUCAGCUGUACCACAUCUCCAAACCUGUUCUAAGGAGUGCUGGCCAGCCCUGAAUGCCCCUCUACAGCUGCCAUGCAUUUCCCAGGGGUCACUCCCCUGACACCUGGCCUCAGGUGUGCCACAGAUUUACUCUUUGGCUCUUUUAUUACU
rnacentral:lncRNA from 1 species